UGUGUGCAUCCAGCACCAUACUCGACCCCCUGGUCGAGUGACUUUGGAGCCAUUCUUCCCAUCUACUCGACCCCCAGGUCGAGUAACCCCAGCUCAGUCCACUCGAUGACGCCACUCGACCCCCUGGUCGAGUAUCACUUCGCCACACUACCUGACCACACUCGCCGUUCACUCUACCACGUUACUCGACCCCCUGAACGAGUAUCAUCACUCACCACCAACACCAUCACUCGACCGGACACUCGAUCACAUCUUCAUAGUCUACUCAAAUUUGUACUCAACCAAACAAGCUGAGCACAAGGAAAAGAAGAGGAGAAGACGAAGUAUUUGGAAGCGGCAUGGACCUCCAUCGGAUCACGAAACCCAUCUCGGCCCAUUAUCACUCUAUGGGCCGGGCGAUUAGGUUAUUGGCCCGUCUACUAUCAUUUAUUUCGUUUUGUAUAAAUAGAUGUCUUAGGGUUUUGUCGUGAGAC
rnacentral:sRNA from 1 species